AGAGUUUGAUCAUGGCUCAGAUUGAACGCUGGCGGCAGGCCUAACACAUGCAAGUCGAGCGGUAGAGAGAAGCUUGCUUCUCUUGAGAGCGGCGGACGGGUGAGUAAUGCCUAGGAAUCUGCCUGGUAGUGGGGGAUAACGUCCGGAAACGGACGCUAAUACCGCAUACAUCCUACGGGAGAAAGCAGGGGACCUUCGGGCCUUGCGCUAUCAGAUGAGCCUAGGUCGGAUUAGCUAGUUGGUGGGGUAAUGGCUCACCAAGGCGACGAUCCGUAACUGGUCUGAGAGGAUGAUCAGUCACACUGGAACUGAGACACGGUCCAGACUCCUACGGGAGGCAGCAGUGGGGAAUAUUGGACAAUGGGCGCAAGCCUGAUCCAGCCAUGCCGCGUGAGUGAUGAAGGCCUUAGGGUUGUAAAGCUCUUUUGUCCGGGAAGAUAAUGACUGUACCGGAAGAAUAAGCCCCGGCUAACUUCGUGCCAGCAGCCGCGGUAAUACGAAGGGGGCUAGCGUUGUUCGGAAUCACUGGGCGUAAAGCGCACGUAGGCGGACUUUUAAGUCAGAGGUGAAAGCCUGGAGCUCAACUCCAGAACUGCCUUUGAUACUGGGAGUCUCGAGUUCGGAAGAGGUUGGUGGAACUGCGAGUGUAGAGGUGAAAUUCGUAGAUAUUCGCAAGAACACCAGUGGCGAAGGCGGCCAACUGGUCCGAUACUGACGCUGAGGUGCGAAAGCGUGGAGAGCAAACAGGAUUAGAUACCCUGGUAGUCC
rnacentral:rRNA from 1 species